UUAUUGCUUACGACUCGAAACGUGGCUGUGCCAGACGAUUGAUGUUGAAAAGCGUAGACUGUGAUAACUUCCUGGUCUCGGAUAAACAUCCGUCUGCGCACGCAUCACCGGAAGACGUGUGGUUUGCCAGCUCGACUGAUUUGUAUCCUAUGAAUUGUGUUUAUUGAUAAUAAACUGACUUGUGGAUGUUUUC